GCCACCAUAGCUCCAAUGGCAGAGCGGCUGAUUUGUAAUCAGUAGGUUCUCGGUUCGAAUCCGAGUGGUGGCU
rnacentral:tRNA from 3 species